rnacentral:misc_RNA from 1 species
AAUCUUUUGCGCCGGCCUCCAUCUGCGUCGCCGAGAUGCGCGAAGGCAGCGCAUGCGCACCUCCUCGCAUCCUUAACGUCAACAUAGUCACGCGUGCGCGCGCGCACGCGUAUUCAUUUUCUUCGGGCGGACAAGGCAGGCGCAUAAGCAGCACAAUCGCAACGCCUUCCACUGCCGCGAGGCCUUUGUUCUAUUUCGGCGCAGUCCUCUCUUUCACCUUUGCCGUGUCCGCGUAUCGCACUCCGCGCUGUUCCGGUCUCUCCCCCGCUCCGUCAUUUCGGUCAUCCCUCUUCCAGGAUAUCCGUGCCGCACUUGUUCCUCGCCUGUGGUGUUGCUCGACAACUGCCCCCAUCGCGUUCCAUCUACGCCAUCGGACACACCGCAUGCGCACCCUUUACACAGUGGCGCGCCCUUCCUCUCAUUAUUCCUCGUGCUCUCUCAUCGUUUUUUUUUACCCGUAUUCUUCGCUUGUACUUGCACUUCGCACGAGCUCUCCUGUCUUGCGUCACUUAUGGGCGCCGUGCUGAGAGGCGCCGUCGGACACCUCACAGCGGAUCGUCACUGGGGCGUGGAUGACCUCGCCCCACCUCCUUAUCUGGUGCCGUUUCCUGGUGCCUCUGGCGCGGAUGAGCACUCGGCUCGGCUUUAUGCCUGCGGGUGCCUCCGUGCUCUGAGUGCAGACGGGUGGGCCAAGGGUAAGCCGAUACGGUGGCGCAUUCCGGAAAGCGUGAGCCUUUCUGGCAUGGCUGGCGGUGGAGGAGGCGGUGCCGACGGCAGGAAAACCGAAGGCGACCCUGUGGCUGACGUGCUGGUGCAGCUCGUUUCAGCGCUGUCCUCGCAUCAGCUGGUCGUCUUCUCUGUUGAGGGCCAUAGCGAGGUCACUGCCGCGGAUGUGCAUCAAUGGGCAUCAUGGUUGGGUACGGAUGCGCUAGCGAGGGCGCCUGCGGCGCCGUGGAGCAACAUUCGUGUCGCGAACCUGAGCGACUGUUCUCUGGGGGACGCCGGGGUGCAAGCGUUCCUUACCAUUGUUUUCCCUAGCGCUACUUCACCGUCCAACGAAGGCUCUAGGCAUGCUGUGUCGGCACCACACCGAGCACCUCUUCCUCUUCUGGAGUCCUUGAUACUCGAUGGUGUAGGCCUGACAGACCGUGGUGCAGUGUGGGUGACUUCCUACUUGGAUGAGGUCGCGCGGUGUAGAGUCGAUGCGCGCCCGUUUGGUGACCGUGAUGAUGCGUCCGCCUCUCCCUGCAAGCGCUGCCUUCUGCAUACACUCUCUCUGCAGCGGAACACGCUAGGAGCCGUCGGGGUGCUGAAGCUCUUGCACGCCUCCCUCGCAAAUCCACGCAGUGCAGGCAGCGCAAACAGGCACACCGUAGAGUCUGUCGAUCCCUCCUGGAACUCGUUGGCGUCUGUGCCGCGUGGCUGUGUUGGCGAGGAGGAGAGCAGCUCGGCCGCCCGCCGGAAGCUUCUCAUUGCCCUCGGUGCGGGGAUGGUGCGAUCGACGUGUGAAAUUCAACCCCCUGCAGCGUCAGGAGAAGCAUCACCACCGCGUAGAAGUUCUCUUCUCUUAGAGGGCUGCGGCGCGGACGAGGCCGAUGCACGCGCACUGUAUACUGAAGGCUUGCUCUUUGCUUUCCUCGAGUGCUUUCGUGAGGCGGCGCACAGGGAGGUGGGUGGCCUGCCGCACUCCCCGGCGCGACAGGUUUUGCUGCCGCCCGUGGGCAUGCAGGUGACCAAGAUUGACCUCAGUCACAAUCCCUGCCUCGGUGAUGCCGGCGUCCGGCAGUUGUUGAGCGCUCUUCUAUGUCUGGAAGCGACGCGUGAAGUGUCGCGCAGCAUGUGGCACCCGCUCGGCUCUGCGCAGCACACGUUUGUUGGUGUCGAAGAAAUUGUGUUACGCGAGGUUGGCUGUACGGAUGCAGUGCUGGUGGAUGUGGUGCGACUGCUGAGCUCGAACAUUCAUCGAGCCAUUCCAGGUUUGGUGCAGCAGGGAAGUGCAGCACGCGAGCUUUCCGACCUCGAAGCCGUCUUUGAAGAAGAGGUGCAUCGUACUCUUCUCGACGAGGCGCGCUUCCUGGCAGGCAUUCGUGAAGAAAGGGUUCCGCAGAGCACCGAGAGCGCCGAGAAUGGCCAUCUCACGCGAUGCACAUACCUGCCAUCGCUAAGGCUUCUGGACCUCUCCGAGAACUCGUUCUACUCAGCUGACCUCAUUGGCGCUGUAAUGGCUGGGGCUGCUCUGCGCGUAUCAUACGCACCUUCUCGCGCAUCCGACUCGGCGGUCACGGAGCACCACACGGGACAGAGGCAUGGCGGCCUAGCGCCGCGCCAAAGGGUCCUGAGUGCCACUGCCGGCGAGCACAGCUUCGCCUUGGGCUUGGAGGAGUGUGGGCUCGCGGACGCGGCCUUGCUGCAGCUUCCGCUCUCCCUUCAGAUGCUGCGAGCUGUGAUGCCUAAGUACGAGGAGCCACUCUUUUCCACAGAUUUCUGCCCUCCCCCCGUUGCACCACGGCAUCCCAUCCAGCCUCAGUCGUGCAGAUGCACUUGGUACCUGGGAGGCAACCAUCUCACCCACUCAGCGCUCCUUCGACUUCGGAAGUUUACGGAAACCCUGGCGCGGAGCACCUCCGUGGGCAUCCGGCUGUGCUCGGUCAACGCCUACGUGGAACGGAAUGCAAUACUGCAUCCUGCCACCACGGUGAAGGAGAGCGACGAAGACGACAUGGAGGGCAGUGGGGCAGCCGCCGUGGACGCUUCGGGCGCGUCUUGGCUCGGCAUAUCGGCUGCGGAGGACAACGUCCGAGGCGGCAGCAUCACCGAGCGAGCCGCCUCAGGAAGCGAGGCUGGUUUUGCCGACCGCUGUUUGGCUCUUCACGACUUCACGGCACCGCGGGUGAGUUGGCAUCAGCUUCCCUCGCUGUACAACCUCGCGACUGCGGAGAAGGCCCGCGACCCUUGCCAACUUUCGAUCGCGUCAAAGUCCCUCCAGCGGUGCGGGCCGCAGGCCAAUGCGACGGGGCUCGGCACCUGUCCAGCGCACUCUGUCCGCCUCAGCGCCUCGGGCGCUGCGGCUCCGGCACCCGUUGCGGCUCUCACUGCACCAGAAAUGCGAAGUGGUCAAGCGUGUGCGCACCUCUCGAGAGGUACCAGUGGCAAACACGAGCCUUCUCGCGCUGAUACGGAUGGCGACUCUGAUGAGUGGGUCGGCAUGAUGGGCUUUCACGAUGACCGUUCUGCGUUAUGGGCAUCACUAUCACCGAUGACGGUAAGCACCAAUGACCUCAUCGACGCCUUGAUUGCCGAGGCGGAGCAGGUGAUGCGGGAGCGCAGCCCUUUUGUGGAGGUGGGCCGCCAACUCGCGAGUGCUGACCUGCUUUCGGGCCUGCCCCCUCUAUCACCGCCUGACACGUAUAGUGGUCUUGAGUGACGUGAGCCGCGGACGGUCAGAAUCAGAUGGGAUGGAAGGUCAUAUGCCUGUUCCAGCUCGUGUGCCUGUGUCCAUGUAUGUUCGCGCAACACCAAACACCGCCAUACAGCCCCCAAAACGGGGCGGCCGAAAUUCGGCCUGCACGCGGAUGACUCUGCUAGAAAGAUACGAAACAGAGACGGGACGAG